GCCCCCAAACCCUUGACCUCCUUUGAUCCACCAUAACUCUUCCGUCCGGGCUCCGAUCACCGCACCGUUCGCGGCCACGCGCUCAGCGCGUCGAGCUCUACCUUUCUAUCCGAACAAUUUCACUGGUUCAAGUUAGCUUCCGGAACUUGUGGGCUCAAGCUAUUGAGCAUAUGGGUAUGGUGUAGUUUAAGAGGGUGUUUAUGCAUUGGACUUGAAUUUGGAUUACUUGGAGCUUUGUUGGUGACAAGGCUUACUUCGGGGCUGUUUGAUUGAGCUUGGAGGGGCUGUGAUUUUGUGUUGAGAGGCUGCCUUGGGUGAAUUAAGUGAUCGGCCAAGGUAUGGUUUAAGUUUUGCACGUUUAAUAUUUACGGUGUUGUGAAAACUUAGGUUAGAGGAACCAUAGGAUAAGUUGAAUUGUUUGUUGUAUUUAAUGAUUAGCCUUGUAAUAUUGUUGGGAUAGAUUUGUUGGUGGAUUUAUAUAUUGGAAUUAUGAGAUGUGGAAGUUAUUAAUGGUGUGCUCCUAUAUUUAUUUAUGAUGGAUUAGGAUUGGUGUUUGUUAAUAAGGAUGUAGAGUUGUGUUAUGGUGGUAUUGCAUAUGCUGUAACUAAUUAUGUAAUGAUCGGAAUUGUAUG